rnacentral:lncRNA from 1 species
CUCCAUAAGUGUAAAUAUGGUAACUGUGUCCUGGCCUUUGUGGUGAAACCCGAUGAAUGUCGUUGUUUAUGUAAACUUUGUUAAGGAAAAAUGCUGGAAGAAAACAUGCAUGACCGUUGCCUGAGCAUCCAGCAUUUGAUAUUGGUUGUUUGAACCAUUGGGUGUUAAAGUUACAAAACCCGAAUAAAAGGCUGCCAAAUUAUACCACUCUGUAUACCAAAGGGAAAAAGAGUAACCCAGAGUAAGUAUUCCAAUGUGCAGUUCUAGGCAAUACCCCCGCCCCCUCUAAUGGAAGAGAUUUACUUUAUGAACCCCAUCCCUCUGAAUUUUUAACUGUUCCUGACAGCUUGUUUCCCCCACCCCUUUGGAAAUUAAACGUUGAACUAUACCAACCAAAGAUAUCUAUGAUACUAAAAUAAUCAAAAAAUGAAAAAAUAAUCUAUUAUUCAAGUAACAUAUAUAUAUAAAUCAAUUAAAUUAAAUCAAAUUAUAUUUCCCACAACUUUGUGCAAAGUAAUAUUUCUUACGUGUGUCCGAGUUCCAAUUUGGCAACACAGUCAUCUUUAAGCCAUCUCUCAUUGAAGACGUUUGGUGCAAUAACGGAGGAGACAAUAGUAUUUUAUAAGGAGACCAGUAACCAUUUUUUUGUUUUACAUGGCCAUCACAUGUUUGUUUUAUGUCAC